UUGGCUGGCGGUGGCCGGCGCGGGAGGGGGGGGGACAAGGAGCAUCAGUUGCAUUUCAAACAUUGUGGUGGUCGGAUGUACUCGCUCCAACACAGUGACACUCCAUGUACAAGGUAGACUGAAUCUACUGCAAGGCAUCAUGGACCGGUUUCAUACAUAUGCAUCUCUGGUUGGCUGGCAUAAGCAUGAUCCUGUGAGCUAGUGUUACUCCUGGCAACUACUUUUGACUAGUUCUUCCUGUGAAACAGCUGUCUUUCAAAGAUGCCGAGGUCAUGCUGUGUGCCAGGAUGCAAGUCCAACUAUAAAUCUGCAGAUGCCUCUGCGUUCAGUUUCCCUAAAGAUGAACAGCGACGGCAGCAGUGGAUGAGGGCUAUCCACAGGAAAGACUUUACUCCAACAGAAAAUACAAUUGUUUGUUCCAAGCACUUCCAAAAACGUUUCAUCAUUACAGAAGACAGUAUGACACGCGCUGAUGGAACUGUAGUAACAGCAAAGAGAGGCAGGCCAUCUCUACAUAAAGAUGCUUGUCCAACCAUCUUUGAAAACCAGCCCAAGUAUAUGUCCAAGGAAAUACCAGCUCCUCGCACCACUCCACAGGAAAGGAGAGACAAGCUAAUUGAACGUGAUGAAAUGGUGUUCAGUGAUUGGAUUGAGAAAGACCAAAUAAACAGCUUUAAAGAAUUUUGU